ACUAAAAUGGCAGAGUUGGAUGCGUAAAAUCUAAGAUUUUAAUAGGUAUGGUUGUAGUACUUUUAGUA
rnacentral:tRNA from 1 species